rnacentral:rRNA from 1 species
UACGGAGGAUGCAAGCGUUAUCCGGAUUUAUUGGGUUUAAAGGGUGCGCAGGUUGUUUGAUAAGUCAGUGGUGAAAGUCUGUCGCUUAACGGUAGGAUUGCCAUUGAUACUGUUAGACUUGAAUAUGGAUGAGGUAGGCGGAAUGUGUAGUGUAGCGGUGAAAUGCACAGAUAUUACACAGAACACCGAUUGCGAAGGCGGCUUACUAAUCCAUCAUUGACGCUGAGGCACGAAAGCGUGGGGAUCAAACAGGAUUA